AUCGGGGGUCCAGUAUUUUCCCACCUUUUGUUGUGUCAUUCUCAGCAUGGAGGCUCUGUCCUUAGUUUGUCUUCUCCCUUUGUUGACAGAUGGUGGUUGCUAUUUCAGGCCCAGACAUAAUCAAAUCCAUGUGAAGAAAAGAGAUUUCUUCCUGCGUGGCCCUUUGUAAGAGAAAGAAAAUGUUCCUACAAGUCUUCCAGAGGAGUUCUUAAUGGUUGGUCAUCUCGGUGCACUGAGCUGUACACACCAGGGACAGUGCUGGAUCCUCACGCAGGUUCAAUGAGCUGGGCGAUUUGAGGUGGUAGAUGCCGUCUUCACAUGAUUAAUCAUUUUGUUCUUGGCAUUUUCCUAGUAGGUCUCCCUGCUUCCUUUUGCCAGAAAAGGUAAAGUUCUGGAGAAAGAGGUUUUUUCUUGGCUUUUGAGUUCAGGCCUUACAGAGGUAAAACCGAGUAGAUGUGGGAGAACAUGUGGUAAACAGAUACAACUUUCCCGGGAUGGGGAGAGAAAAAUAGUGAAACUCCAUCUCCACUAAAAAUACAAAAACUAGCCCGGCGUGGUGGCACGCGCCUGUAAUCCCAACUACUUGGGAGGCUGCGGCAGGUGAAUCACUUGAAGCCGGGAGGUGAAGGCCGCAGUAACGCUGUUCCCUGCAUUGGAUGAAGUGCUCCCCACCAAACUCUCUCACCGGAGAGGGUGGGAUCUGCGGGCUCCCUGGGUGGCUUGAUUUCGACACCCUGUGGGCUGCCUUCCACUCUGGUACUUUCCUCUGCCUGCUGAUGCUUGAAAUUCCUUGAACCGGCCACACACACCUGCUUUCUGGAAUCAGAACACUGGAAAGGCUUCCUGGGACGGGAGAAGAGUGAUUUACAUUCCUGCCGAGGUGUAAAGCUGCGGAUGGCAGGUUCUCUCCUGAGAACCGGCUUCAACUAGGAGGAGGAGGUUGGAAGCAGGACCCCGAGCUGACCUGUUGACCAGGAGAGGAGCAGCAGUGAGGAUGCCAGAGUUCAUGGGUUUCUAGAAGACAAGUUUUCAACUGCAGAUACAAACAUCAGGACGUCAAUGUAUCUGCUAGGAGACACCCGGACAGUGUUGAGAACACAGAACCUGGAGGCUAAACCCCCAGCUUUCUAUGCCAGCUGAGAGUCUGUGGGCACAUUACUCAGCGUCUCUGAACCUCAUGCUCCUCCCCUGUGACAUGUAGAUUGCUAAACCCAUCUCACAGGGCUAUCUUCUGCAUUUAAAGAAUAAAAUAACACAUGAGGGGUCUAUCAAUGUUUCUGACCUAUUUAUUUAUUGUUA
rnacentral:lncRNA from 10 species